GAUGAACGCUGGCGGCGUGCCUAAUACAUGCAAGUCGAGCGAACAGACGAGGAGCUUGCUCCUCUGACGAGAGCGGCGGACGGGAGAGAAACACGUGGAAAACGCACCUAAAAGAGUGGGAAAAAUUCGGGAAACCGGAGAUAAUAGCGGAUAAUAUAUUGAAGCGUAUGGUUUAAUAGAGAAAGACGGUUGUGCUGUUACUAGUAGGUGGAGCGGCGCCGCAUUAGGUAGUUGGGAAGGUAACGGCUUACGAAGGCAACGAUGCGUAGCCGACCUAGGAGGGUGAUGGGCCACCCUGGACCUGGAACACGCUCCAUACUCCUACGGGAGGCACCAGAAGGGAAUCUUCCGCAGUGGGCGAAAGCCUGACGGAGCACCCCGGCGUGAGUGAUAAAGGUCUUCGGAUCGUAAAACUCUGUUAUUAGGGAAGAACAGAUUUGUAAUGAACUGUGCACGUCUUGACGGUACCUAAUCAGAAAGCCACGGCUAACUACGUG
rnacentral:rRNA from 1 species